rnacentral:piRNA from 1 species
UAGGUCAGAUACCUCAAGACAGUCAUGCA